rnacentral:rRNA from 1 species
CCUACGGGAGGCUGCAGUGAGGAAUAUUGGUCAAUGGACGAGAGUCUGAACCAGCCAAGUAGCGUGAAGGAUGACUGCCCUAUGGGUUGUAAACUUCUUUUAUCUGGGAAUAAAAUGUUCCACGUGUGGGAUUUUGUAUGUACCAUAUGAAUAAGGAUCGGCUAACUCCGUGCCAGCAGCCGCGGUAAUACGGAGGAUCCGCGCGUUUUCCGGAUUUAUUGGGUUUAAAGGGGGCGUAGCUGGAUUGUUAAGGCAGUUGUGAAAGUUUGCGGAGCAACCGUAAAAUUGCAGUUGACACUGGCAGUCUUGAGUACAGGAGAGGUGUGCGGAAUUCGUGGUGUAGCGGUGAAAUGCUUAGAUAUCACGAAGAACUCCGAUUGCGAAGGCAGGUCACUGGACUGCAACUGACACUGAGGCUCGAAAGUGUGGGUAUCAAACAGGAUUAGAUACCCGGGUAGUC